UGCAAUCUACCUAUAACUGGGGAAUAGCCUUCCGAAAGGAAGAUUAACACCGCAUAAUAUCACGAAACGGCAUCGCUUUGUGAUCAAAUCUCCGGAGGUUAUAGAUGAGCAUGCGUGACAUUAGCUAGUUGGUGAGGUAACGGCCCACCAAGGCUACGAUGUCUAGGGGGUCUGAGAGGAUGAUCCCCCACACUGGUACUGAGACACGGACCAG
rnacentral:rRNA from 1 species